GAUGAACGCUGGCGGCGUGCCUAAUACAUGCAAGUCGAGCGAACGGACGAGAAGCUUGCUUCUCUGAUGUUAGCGGCGGACGGGUGAGUAACACGUGGAUAACCUACCUAUAAGACUGGGAUAACUUCGGGAAACCGGAGCUAAUACCGGAUGAUAUUUUGAACCGCAUGGUUCAAAAGUGAAAGACGGUCUUGAUGUCACUUAUAGAUGGAUCCGCGCUGCAUUAGCUAGUUGGUAAGGUAACGGCUUACCAAGGCUACGAUGCAUAGCCGACCUGAGAGGGUGAUCGGCCACACUGGAACUGAGACACGGUCCAGACUCCUACGGGAGGCAGCAGUAGGGAAUCUUCCGCAAUGGGCGAAAGCCUGACGGAGCAACGCCGCGUGAGUGAUGAAGGUCUUCGGAUCGUAAAACUCUGUUAUUAGGGAAGAACAUAUGUGUAAGUAACUGUGCACAUCUUGACGGUACCUAAUCAGAAAGCCACGGCUAACUACGUG
rnacentral:rRNA from 1 species